GACGAACGCUGGCGGCGUGCCUAAUACAUGCAAGUAGGACGCAGUUGCGAACGGGUGAGUAACGCUUAGGUAACUGCCUCUUAGAGUGGGAUAACUAUUGGAAACGCUCGCUAAUACCCCAUACUCGUAGAUGGACCUGCGUUGUAUUAGCUAGUAGGUAGGGUAAUUGCCUACCUAGGCAACGAUACAUAGCCAACCUGGGAGGGGGAUCGGCCAAAAGGGGACCGGGGCAAGGGCCAAAGUUCUACGGGAAGGAGCAGUAGGGGAUGUUUGGGAAUGGGGCGAACCCUGACCGGGCAACGCCGCGGUAGGGAAGGAGGUUUUCGGAACGGAAAGCUCUGUUGUUAAGGAAGCGGUACUUAACCAGAAAGGGACGGCUAACUACGUGCCAGCAGCCGCGGUAAUUC
rnacentral:rRNA from 1 species